AGAGCAAGAAACAUAGUUAGUUUCCCAUUAACCUUUUUAAAUGAACGGCAACCAGUUUAAAUAGCUAUAUAAAAUGAGAUUUAAACUUGGGGUAAAAUAUUCCAUAAACCGACGAGGAUGGGAUUCGAACCCACGCGUGCAGAGCACAUUGGAUUAGCAGUCCAACGCCUUAACCUCUCGGCCACCUCGUCACUUUCUUUUCGACGAAUUCGAAGACCUUUUCGUACACUCCGUACUCCCACUUUCUUCGCUCGACCAACUAUCUAUCUGUAGAAAAAGUCUGCGAAGAAGUGAGGUGAGUGUGCGAAUGAGAGUUACGAUUAAGCGGAAUAUUUCUUAUCGAAUUUAGAAACUGCGACUGAGUCGUAGAUUUCGCUCAGAUGAUAACUGGUUUCAGCUCGAAACUUGAGUGAAUGCUUCACUCCAGCUGCGUUUGCUUAGGCCUUAUUUAAUUUAUGGUUAGAUAAUGAAUAAAUUAGGUGCCAACAAAGGUCGCAGAAGAUUCAGCACGAAAGGCAUUAAACAACUUUUUUUCAUAAUUCUGACCAUUUUGCAAAUUGUAUUAUAAACCAUGAUAAGAUAACGUAUAAAAUACAGCAAAUAUAACAUUUAAACUUUCAAAAAUAA